rnacentral:lncRNA from 1 species
GGUCACCGCAUCGAAUCUUACUCGGAAUCAAAUAAGGCCGAAGUCAGACUUUGACAGCCUGAUGCGAAAUAUAAUCCUAAAUGUUCAUAGUGAAAGAAAGAGUACAAAUAAAAAGGUAAAAGAAAAAAUGUUUCAUUUCAUGUUUAUACAUAGGCACGGUUGAGCCCAUUACAAAAUAAAGGUCUACAAACUGCAAUUAAGGAAAGCAAAAAUAAGAAGGGA